CAGCCGCCGCGGUAAUACAGAGGGUGCAAGCGUUAAUCGGAAUUACUGGGUGUAAAGCGCGCGUAGGUUGUUUGUUAAGUUGGAUGUGAAAGCCCCGGGCUCAACCUGGGAACUGCAUCCAAAACUGGCAAGCUAGAGUACGGUAGAGGGUGGUGGAAUUUCCUGUGUAGCGGUGAAAUGCGUAGAUAUAGGAAGGAACACCAGUGGCGAAGGCGACCACCUGGACUGAUACUGACACUGAGGUGCGAAAGCGUGGGGAGCAAACAGGAUUAGAUACCCCCGUAGUCCCUGUCUCUUAUAC
rnacentral:rRNA from 1 species